rnacentral:rRNA from 1 species
GACGAACGCUGGCGGCGUGCUUAACACAUGCAAGUCGAACGGAAAGGCCCUGCUUGCAGGGUACUCGAGUGGCGAACGGGUGAGUAACACGUGGGUGAUCUGCCCUGCACUUCGGGAUAAGCCUGGGAAACUGGGUCUAAUACCGGAUAGGAGCCAUUUUUAGUGUGAUGGUUGGAAAGUUUUUUCGGUGUAGGAUGAGCUUGCGGCCUAUCAGCUUGUUGGUGGGGUAAUGGCCUACCAAGGCGGCGACGGGUAGCCGGCCUGAGAGGGGGGACGGCCACAUUGGGACUGAGAUACGGCCCAGACUCCUACGGGAGGCAGCAGUGGGGAAUAUUGCACAAUGGGCGCAAGCCUGAUGCAGCGACGCCGCGUGGGGGAUGACGGCCUUCGGGUUGUAAACUCCUUUCGCUAGGGACGAAGCUUUGUGUGACGGUACCUAGAUAAGAAGCACCGGCUAACUACGUG